AAACCAGCACCUCAAGUGGUCAGGAUGAUUAUUGGGCCUAAAGCAUCCGUAGCCGGCCCUGUAAGUUUUCGGUUAAAUCUGUACGCUUAACGUACAGGCUGCCGGAAAUACUGCAGAGCUAGGGAGUGGGAGAGGUAGACGGUACUCGGGAGGAAGUGGUAAAAUGCUUUGAUCUCUCGAUGACCACCUGUGGCGAAGGCGGUCUACCAGAACACGUCCGACGGUGAGGGAUGAAAGCUGGGGGAGCAAACCGGAUUAGAAACCCCGGUAGUCC
rnacentral:rRNA from 1 species